UGGGGAAUAUUGCGCAAUGGGGGGAACCCUGACGCAGCCAUGCCGCGUGAAUGAAGAAGGCCUUAGGGUUGUAAAGUUCUUUCGGUAUUGAGGAAGGUUGAUGUGUUAAUAGCACAUCAAAUUGACGUUAAAUACAGAAGAAGCACCGGCUAACUCCGUGCCAGCAGCCGCGGUAAUACGGAGGGUGCGAGCGUUAAUCGGAAUAACUGGGCGUAAAGGGCACGCAGGCGGUUAUUUAAGUGAGGUGUGAAAGCCCCGGGCUUAACCUGGGAAUUGCAUUUCAGACCGGGUAACUAGAGUACUUUAGGGAGGGGUAGAAUUCCACGUGUAGCGGUGAAAUGCGUAGAGAUGUGGAGGAAUACCGAAGGCGAAGGCAGCCCCUUGGGAAUGUACUGACGCUCAUGUGCGAAAGCGUGGGGAGCAAACAGGAUUAGAUACCCUGGUAGUCCACGCUGUAAACGCUGUCGAUUUGGGGGUUGGGGUUUAACUCUGGCGCCCGUAGCUAACGUGAUAAAUCGACCGCCUGGGGAGUACGGCCGCAAGGUUA
rnacentral:rRNA from 1 species